GACGGAGGAUGCAAGCGUUAUCCGGAAUGAUUGGGCGUAAAGCGUCCGCAGGUGGCAGUUCAAGUCUGCUGUCAAAGACCGGGGCUUAACUUCGGAAAGGCAGUGGAAACUGAACAGCUAGAGUAUGGUAGGGGCAGAGGGAAUUCCUGGUGUAGCGGUGAAAUGCGUAGAGAUCAGGAAGAACAUCGGUGGCGAAGGCGGCGUUCUGGACUGCAACUGACACUGAGGAACGAAAGCCAGGGGAGCAAACGGG
rnacentral:rRNA from 1 species